UACGUAGGUGGCAAGCGUUGUCCGGAAUUAUUGGGCGUAAAGCGCGCGCAGGCGGCCUCUUAAGUCUGAUGUGAAAGCCCCCCGGCUCAACCGGGGAGGGCCAUUGGAAACUGGGAGGCUUGAGUAUAGGAGAGAAGAGUGGAAUUCCACGUGUAGCGGUGAAAUGCGUAGAGAUGUGGAGGAACACCAGUGGCGAAGGCGACUCUUUGGCCUACAACUGACGCUGAGGCGCGAAAGCGUGGGGAGCAAACAGG
rnacentral:rRNA from 1 species